rnacentral:tRNA from 1 species
GGCCCUGUGGUGAAGUUCAUGUUGAGUUGCAGGCUCAUUGAUGUACAUUGAAAAUGUGCCAGGGUCU